rnacentral:rRNA from 1 species
AGCAGCCGCGGUAAUUCCAGCUCCAAUAGCGUAUAUUAAAGUUGUUGCAGUUAAAAAGCUCGUAGUUGAAUUUCGGGAUUCUACCGUUGGUCGGGCUAUUGUUUGUACUGGCGUGUAGAAUUUCUACCUUCUGGGGAACUAUCAUGUUAUUAAUUUAGCGUGGUAGGAAACCAGGACCUUUACCUUGAAAAAAUUAGAGUGUUCAAAGCAGGCUUAUGUCUGAAUACAUUAGCAUGGAAUAAUAAAAUAGGACGGUGGUCCUGUUUUGUUGGUUUCUGAAUCACCGUAAUGAUUAAUAGGGAUAGUUGGGGGCAUUAGUAUUCAAUUGUCAGAGGUGAAAUUCUUGGAUUUAU